rnacentral:rRNA from 1 species
CUGGCAACUUGGAGAAGUGGCAAGUCUUCCAGUAUGGGGAGCAAAACAGCUAUGGGUCAAGUCCGAUAUCUUUAGGAGAAGUCUUAUUGUGAGGGCGAGUUAUAUAACACCAUAGGACUGGCCGUCCCAUAUGAAAAGAUUAUAUUAGAAUUGAAUGAAGCUUUGUUUAUAUAUUGAUAAUGACAGUAUAUAUAUCGUGUCUUGACUAAUUGCGUGCCAGCAGUCGCGGUAAUACGUAAGAGACUAGUGUUAUUCAUCUUAAUUAGGUUUAAAGGGUACCCAGACGGUCAAUAUAGCUUAUAAAAUGUUAGUACUUGACUAGAGUUUUAUGUAAGAGGGCAGUACUUGAGGAGGAGAGAUGAAAUUUCGUGAUACCAAAGGGACUCUGUAAAGGCGAAGGCAGCCCUCUAUGUAAAAACUGACGUUGAAGGACGAAGGCACAGAGAACAAACAGGAUUAGAUACCCAAGUAGUCUUUGCAGUAAAUGAUGAAUGCCAUAGGUUAGAUUGAUCAAUUAUAGUCUAGGGUUAGUCUAGCAAACUAAUGCCCUAUGAUAUAAUUCAAAAUAUCUGGUCUAUAAAUGAAAGUGUAAGCAUUUCACCUCAAGAGUAAUGUGGCAACGCAGGAACUGAAAUCACUAGACCNUUUCUGACACCAGUAGUGAAGUAU